UUCUAUAGUAGUAUGCUCAUGUUCACUAUUGUUGUGCCGUAUCCAGGUAGCAUUAUCUUUGGCAGCUUGCAUAUACUUCCUCAACGACAAGACAAAGAGCCUAGCUAGAGCUGCCAUCAUCGGAUUCGGUGCCCUUGUAGUUGGCUGGAUUUCUGGUUCCAUUUUGGUUCCCACAAUUCCGUCAUUUCUGCUACAACCAACUUGGACACUUGAACUGCUAACAUCACUGGUAGCUUACGUUUUUCUGUUUCUUGCUUGCACUUUCCUCAAGUAACGUAAGAGCCGAACCUCCUGUUGUAUUAUGAGUUAUAGUUUCAGUUUACAACAAUGUGUUUGUUCUUGCAUUGGAUUAAAUGAUUGAUUAAAAAAAAAAAUCUCUACCCAAAUCUAUAUUGCUGCCUGCUUGAACUUUGAAGAUCUCAUAUUUGAUGUUUAUAGGCGUUUUCAUGUGCUGGUAUGCCAUGUUUAUGAUGCUUUGUAACACUGAUUCAGUAGUAUUAACAAUGAUUAAUGUAACACUGGAUUCAGUAA